CAUAGCAUGGUUGCUCUGAUUAUGGUUU
rnacentral:piRNA from 1 species